GGUAAAACCAGCACCUCAAGUGGUCAGGAUGAUUAUUGGGCCUAAAGCAUCCGUAGCCGGCGCUGUAAGUUUUCGGUUAAAUCUGUACGCUCAACGUACAGGCUGCCGGGAAUACUGCAGCGCUAGGGAGUGGGAGAGGUAGACGGUACUCGGUAGGAAGGGGUAAAAUCCUUUGAUCUAUUGAUGACCACCUGUGGCGAAGGCGGUCUACCAGAACACGUCCGACGGUGAGGGAUGAAAGCUGGGGGAGCAAACCGGAUUAGAUACCCGGGUAGUCCCAGCUGUAAACUAUGCAAACUCAGUGAUGCAUUGGCUUGUGGCCAAUGCAGUGCUGCAGGGAAGCCGUUAAGUUUGCCGCCUGGGAAGUACGUACGCAAGUAUGAAACUUAAAGGAAUUGGC
rnacentral:rRNA from 1 species